rnacentral:rRNA from 1 species
GACGAACGCUGGCGGCGUGCUUAACACAUGCAAGUCGAACGGAAAGGCCCUGCUUUUGUGGGGUGCUCGAGUGGCGAACGGGUGAGUAACACGUGAGUAACCUGCCCUUGACUUUGGGAUAACUUCAGGAAACUGGGGCUAAUACCGGAUAGGAGCUCCUGCUGCAUGGUGGGGGUUGGAAAGUUUCGGCGGUUGGGGAUGGACUCGCGGCUUAUCAGCUUGUUGGUGGGGUAGUGGCUUACCAAGGCUUUGACGGGUAGCCGGCCUGAGAGGGUGACCGGCCACAUUGGGACUGGGAUACGGCCCAGACUCCUACGGGAGGCAGAAGUGGGGAAUAUUGCACAAUGGGCGGAAGCCAGAUGCAGCAACGCCGCGUGCGGGAUGACGGCCUUCGGGUUGUAAACCGCUUUCGCCUGUGACGAAGCGUGAGUGACGGUAAUGGGUAAAGAAGCACCGGCUAACUACGUG